rnacentral:rRNA from 1 species
GGUGGUUGAAAAAGUUGGUGGUGAAAUCCCAGAGCUUAACUCUGGAACUGCCAUCAAAACCUUUUCAGCUAGAGUAUGAUAGAGGAAAGCAGAAUUUCUAGUGUAGAGGUGAAAUUCGUAGAUAUUAGAAAGAAUACCAAUUGCGAAGGCAGCUUUCUGGAUCAUUACUGACACUGAGGAACGAAAGCAUGGGUAGCGAAGAGGAUUAGAUACCCUCGUAGUCCAUGCCGUAAACGAUGUGUGUUAGACGUUGGAAAUUUAUUUUCAGUGUCGCAGGGAAACCGAUAAACACACCGCCUGGGGAGUACGACCGCAAGGUUAAAACUCAAAUGAAUUGACGGGGACCCGCACAAGUAGUGGAGCAUGUGGUUUAAUUCGAAGAUACGCGCAGAACCUUACCAACACUUGACAUGUUCGUCGCGACUCUAAGAGAUUAGGGUUUUCGGUUCGGCCGGACGAAACACAGGUGCUGCAUGGCUGUCGUCAGCUCGUGUCGUGAGAUGUUGGGUUAAGUCCCGCAACGAGCGCAACCCUCACUUUUAGUUGCCAUCAUUAAGUUGGGCACUCUGAAAGAACUGCCAGUGAUAAGCUGGAGGAAGGUGGGGAUGACGUCAAGUCCUCAUGGCCCUUACGUGUUGGGCUACACACGUGCUACAAUGGCAUCUACAACAGGAAGCAAAACGGCAACGUUAAGCAAAUCCCGAAAAGAUGCCUCAGUUCGGAUUGCACUCUGCAACUCGAGUGCAUGAA